UGCAAGUCGAGCGGUAGAGAGGUGCUUGCACCUCUUGAGAGCGGCGGACGGGUGAGUAAUGCCUAGGAAUCUGCCUGGUAGUGGGGGAUAACGUUCGGAAACGAACGCUAAUACCGCAUACGUCCUACGGGAGAAAGCAGGGGACCUUCGGGCCUUGCGCUAUCAGAUGAGCCUAGGUCGGAUUAGCUAGUUGGUGAGGUAAUGGCUCACCAAGGCGACGAUCCGUAACUGGUCUGAGAGGAUGAUCAGUCACACUGGAACUGAGACACGGUCCAGACUCCUACGGGAGGCAGCAGUGGGGAAUAUUGGACAAUGGGCGAAAGCCUGAUCCAGCCAUGCCGCGUGUGUGAAGAAGGUCUUCGGAUUGUAAAGCACUUUAAGUUGGGAGGAAGGGUUGUAGAUUAAUACUCUGCAAUUUUGACGUUACCGACAGAAUAAGCACCGGCUAACUCUGUGCCAGCAGCCGCGGUAAUACAGAGGGUGCAAGCGUUAAUCGGAAUUACUGGGCGUAAAGCGCGCGUAGGUGGUUCGUUAAGUUGGAUGUGAAAGCCCCGGGCUCAACCUGGGAACUGCAUUCAAAACUGUCGAGCUAGAGUAUGGUAG
rnacentral:rRNA from 1 species